rnacentral:lncRNA from 1 species
AAAGUCAUUGAAAAAGUCAAGAAUAUUAGUUUUGUAAACCUCCCAGUAAAGUUGCAGAAAUUUAAAAUUGAAGCCAUCUGGUCCGGGAGCUUUGUCCCCGUUACAUUCCUUGAGGCAGCUAUGAAUUUCAGCUUUUGAGAACUCAGCUUCCAGCUGUAGCUUGUCCAAAGUGUCUAAGCGAUCAAACUGCAGACCAUUUAAUUUAGGCCUGCAUUCUACCUCUUCCAUAUAUAGCCUUUUGAAGUAAGACAUGGCAUGAUCUCUC